CCUACGGGAGGCAGCAGUAGGGAAUUUUCGUCAAUGGGCGCAAGCCUGAACGAGCAAUGCCGCGUGAACGAGGAAGGUCUUCGGAUCGUAAAGUUCUGUUGAAGGGGAAAAAGAGCGGAGAGAGGAAAUGCUUUCUGAUUGAUAUUACCCUUCGAGGAAGUCACGGCUAACUCCGUGCCAGCAGCCGCGGUAAUACGGAGGAUGCGAGCGUUAUCCGGAUUUAUUGGGUUUAAAGGGUGCGUAGGCGGAAUGCCAAGUCAGCGGUAAAAUCGCGGGGCUCAACCUCGCUCCGCCGUUGAAACUGGGAGGCUUGAGUAUGUUUGAGGCAGGCGGAAUGCGUGGUGUAGCGGUGAAAUGCUUAGAUAUCACGCAGAACCCCGAUUGCGAAGGCAGCCUGCCAAGCCAUGACUGACGCUGAUGCACGAAAGCGUGGGUAUCGAACAGGAUUAGAUACCCUAGUAGUC
rnacentral:rRNA from 1 species